UCAGGUUUUUCCCCAUUUCUUCCAUUUUUUUCCCAAUUUCUUCCCUUUUUUCCCUCAUUUCUUCACUUUUCCCCCAUUUCUUCACUUUUUCCCUCAUUUCACUUUUUCCCCCAUUUCUUCACUUUUUUCGAUACCCUUGCUUUUUCCUGUUUCUUCUCUUUUCCCCCCAUUUUUUCUUUUUUCCCCAAACACUCAAUUUUUCUUCAAAAUAUUAAUUUUUCCCCAUUUCUUCACUUUUUUCCCAUUUCUUUAUUUUUUCCCAUUUCUUCCCUUUCCCCCCAUUUCUUCACUUUUUUCCCAAUUCCUUUCCUUUUUUUCCCCAAUUCUUCCCUCCCCCAUUUUUUCUUUUUUAAAUCUUCCUUUUCCUUUUUUCUUCUUUUUACUUUCUUCUUCACUUUUCCCCUUAUAUUUCAUUUUACUUUUUCUCUUCAUCAUCUUUUUUCUUUCUUUUCCCCUUUUUUCCUCCCUUUUACCCCCCAUUUUCCUUAUUCCAUUGUUUUUUCCGCAUUCCUCCCUUUCUCCCCCUCCCCCCAUUUUCCCCAUUGUCCCCCUUUUUGCCUGUUUCCAGUAGUUUUCCUCCCGUUGCUCCCGCUGCUGGUUCCCGCAGCGCUGCCCCCUGUCCCCCCAGCCCCGUCUCUGGGGGUGACCCCGCAGAAGCUCCAGUACCUCAUCGGCGACACGGUGUUCCUGCACUGCGCAGCCCCCCCUAGCACUCCCCAAGUGCAAGGAUUCCAGUUCUUGGGGGCAGGGGGGUGGGCCCUGGAGGUGCGGACCCGCCAGAGGAGCCAUGUCCAGACCUUUGACAUCAGGGGCCCAGGGGAUGGGGGGCGCCUCAGCUGCACCUACACCGUCCCUCACCCCGACGGAUCCCGGCGGCCUCUCCGCUCCCAGGAGAGUCCUGGCGUCUUCAUCAGCAUCAGAGACCGCCCGCCUGCCCCCACCCUGACCUUGACCCCUGGGGGAGGGGUCACCAUUGAAGGUCAGACCCUCCUCUUCCUUUGCGCGGCCCCGGCUGAAGUCCUCCCCCGCUGCUUCCGAUUCUUCAAGGAGAAGGAAGAGGUCAAGGACGAAGUCAACGAAGUCAAUGAGGUCAAGGUCAUAAGGGGGGUGGCCACUGCCCAUCUCCCUCUGGUGGCCACUGGCCACAACAUCACCGGCAAUUUCAGCUGUGGCUACGAGGAGGAGGUAGAGGGUCGCCGGAUCCUGUCCCACCUCAGCCCCCACCUCCAGGUGGUGGUCAAAGAGCCUCCUCUGCCGCCCACGUUGGGGGUGGACCCCCCCGGUGGGGUGGUGGGUGAAGGCCACCCCCUGCGUGUCACCUGCAAAGCCACCAGAGAGGACUUUCCCCUGAGGUUCCACUUCUCCAGGAACGGGACAGAGCUUCAGGGGUGGAAACCACAAAAUCUGGGGAUUUUGGCACAAAUUUUCAUCCCCCAAACUCCCACAAGCCUUGAGGGAACUUGGAGGUGUCAUGUGGAAGAGGACAUGGGGGGGAUGUGGGUGACAUCACCCCCCAGUGAACCCCUGGAGGUCACCAUCAAAGCUACCCCUUCCCAGCCCGCCUUGCUCCUGGACCCACCCACCGCAGAGGUCCCACCUGAUGCCCCCCUGCUGCUCACCUGCAUGGCCCAAGGUUCCACCACCCUCCGCAACUUUUCCUUCUACCAAGAUGGCGCCCAGCUCUUCUCGGUGACCACCAGCAGGGACCGGGCCACCUUCACCCUCCCCGUGGUAGCCAAUGCUACCCCAGCCACUGGCUUCAUCUUCUCCUGCCGCUACCAUGAGAAGAUCAAUGAUUGGUGGAUCUCCUCUCCCUUCAGCCAACCCGUGACGGUCACCACCCGAGUUCCCUCCCAGUUCAUCCCAUUGGUGGUCAGUUGUGUCGCUGGUGGUGCCACCCUAUUCGUCGUGGGGCUUCUAUUGGCCAUUUGGCUUUGCCGGAGGCGGAGAGGCCGUGUCCACUGGAGCGGCCUCCGCAACCGGGAUGACCCCAGCACCAUUCCCAUGGCCAACGUCGGCCCCUGUUGAUCCCCGUGAAGGUGACCCCCAACCUCUGCCAUGACAGUUGGGGGCAGAGAACACGCUGUCCCCUCGGCUUCGUAGCUCCCCCCCUCAGUGCACCCCCAUGUAAGGUCCCAGUUCUCAUGUCCAGUUUCUCACCCUGCUCAAUAAACAUCUCAAACCCUCUUCCCGCCUCUUCUUC
rnacentral:lncRNA from 1 species